GCGGAUGUAGCCAAGUGGAUUAAGGCAGUGGAUUGUGAAUUCACCAUGCGCGGGUUCAAUUCCCGUCGUUCGCC
rnacentral:tRNA from 1 species